rnacentral:tRNA from 1 species
CAGAACAUAACUUAAUAAAAGUACCUCGCUUACACCGAACCAAUGUCUAUUAAUCUAGACUGUUCUGAG